rnacentral:rRNA from 4 species
GAGUGCUAAGAGAAUGGACCCACAGAAAACUACUUUUUUAAAAUUAAAAUUUAAAGUUAUUUUUGUUUGUGAAGAAACAACAAUAAAAAUUAAGGACAAGAAGACCCUAAGAAUUUUUUAAAAGAUAAUUUAAAUUUAUAAUUAUUUAUUUUUAAUUGGGGCGAUUAAUAAAUAUAUUAAACUUUAUUUAAAAAAAAAUACGAACCAUUAUUAAUGGUCAUAUGGAAAAAUACUCUAGGGAUAACAGCGUAAUAAUUUUUGAUAGUUCUUAUAGACAAAAUAGUUUGCGACCUCGAUGUUGGAUUAGGA